GGCCUCGUAGCUCAACUGGUAGAGCAUGCGCGUACAAAGCGUAGGCGGUGUCCAUGCGUGGGUUCGAAUCCCACCGAGGCUA
rnacentral:tRNA from 1 species